rnacentral:tRNA from 1 species
GCUGGAGUGGCGGAAUUGGCAGACGCGCACGAUUCAGGGUCGUGUGGGUAACACCGUGGGGGUUCGACUCCCCCCUCCAGCA